ensembl:snoRNA
AUCCUUUCAUAGUUCGAAAGCAGGACAUUUAAGUUUUCAUGCACACAUGAGAUGUGCCUCCCUCAAACAUUGUCACAACAUCGGUACAUUACCAUCUGACA